GCCUGGCUAGCUCAAUCGGUAGAGCGUCAGACUCUUAUAUAGAAACUCCACGUGGGCGUUAAACCCAUCAGAUUUCUAUCUGAAGGUUAUGGGUUCGACCCCCAUGUUAGGCU